rnacentral:rRNA from 1 species
UACGUAGGUGGCGAGCGUUGUCCGGAUUUACUGGGCGUAAAGGGAGCGUAGGCGGACUUUUAAGUGAGAUGUGAAAUACUCGGGCUCAACUUGAGUGCUGCAUUUCAAACUGGAAGUCUAGAGUGCAGGAGAGGAGAGUGGAAUUCCAUGUGUAGCGGUGAAAUGCGUAGAUAUAUGGAGGAACACCGGUGGCGAAAGCGGCUCUCUGGCCUGUAACUGACACUGAGGCUCGAAAGCGUGGGGAGCAAACAGU